GACGAACGCUGGCGGCGUGCUUAACACAUGCAAGUCGAACGGAAAGGCCCUGCUUUUGUGGGGUGCUCGAGUGGCGAACGGGUGAGUAACACGUGAGUAACCUGCCCUUGACUUUGGGAUAACUUCAGGAAACUGGGGCUAAUACCGGAUAGGAGCUCCUGCUGCAUGGUGGGGGUUGGAAAGUUUCGGCGGUUGGGGAUGGACUCGCGGCUUAUCAGCUUGUUGGUGGGGUAGUGGCUUACCAAGGCUUUGACGGGUAGCCGGCCUGAGAGGGUUACCGGCCACAUUGGGACUGAGAUACGGACCAGACUCCUACGGGAGGCAGCAGUGGGGAAUAUUGCACAAUGGGCGGAAGCCUGAUGCAGCAACGCCGCGUGCGGGAUGACGGCCUUCGGGUUGUAAACCGCUUUCGCCUGUGACGAAGCGUGAGUGACGGUAAUGGGUAAAGAAGCAACGGCUAACUACGUG
rnacentral:rRNA from 1 species